rnacentral:lncRNA from 1 species
UGGGUAUUUGAUUGGCGGGGUAAAAUCCGUUCGUGAAGUGCAGCAAGAGUGCCGAAAGCGUUCUGGUAGAAAUCGGUGGCACGGUGGAAAUCCUAAUCCUUUGAUGAGUAGAUGUAGCAUAGAAUCCAGGCGUGGGUUAUUUGGCGGAGUUCAAGCACUGAGUGAACAGAAGGCCGUUGUUCCAAUCCCAACUCCCAAACGUCAUCACUCCGCCAUAAUAAAGCCAUAUGAUAGAGUAGCUGACCAGAUGGCUGAUCAAGUCCUCUGCACGAAUAAGAGUUGUAGCAAAGAAUGAAUGAUAACCAAACAAAAGGAGUUUAAUCAGGAGUGGGCAAACACAAAUUGAAGAAAGAAAGAUACACCUCAUCAGUUGAGUGGAUUCAACAAAUCUGCUGCAGCCAUCCUUUUUCCUCCGUCCUUCCAUCCCUUUGUUAAAGAUGGCUAACCGGACAGGAUGCGGAGGAAAAAAGUAGGAAAUUAAGUAAGAGGAAAUGGGAAGAUGAGA